GGAGUCCCAAUGUGCAUUUUUUAAAUAUUAAAGCACUGUUUACCUUUGAAAUGCAAGUCUCGCGAGGCAAGGAUGUACGCGAAUGGCCAAAUUAAGGUUUGAGACUGGCGAUUUAAAAACUGAUGUGACUCUAAAACUGUUGAGUUUUCUCUGUAAGAAAGAUUAAACGACAUAAUCCCGUUCACGCGAAUAUUAUCACCUGUAGCCAUAGUGACAGUGACUGAAGUAAAGUAAAUAUUAUUAUUUUUUAAAAUGGCGACGCGUAAUCAGUGUUGCCAAGUCCGCGCUUUUAUUUCCAAACGGAAGAAGAACACCUCGAGGGGGGGGAAGAGGAUUGGAUAGUUUUGAAUAGAAUGGGAUUGGUUGUUUUGAAGAUCUGGCAACCCCGACGAAUCAAAUCUAUCGAAGCAUUUGAAUCCAAACUGCGGACUGACGGAGGAGCUUAAAUAGCCACUGUUUUAAACCAGUCAUGCUGCAAGAUCUGCUCGAGGGUCAGCCGUUCGGUUGGAUCAUGUGUUAGGCACUGGUCAAUCAGAUCACGGCAUUCUGUUUUCAGGAGAGAGUCGAUAAAUAUGGGAUUUCAAACCAAACUUUGACUUGCAUGAUUUCCAUUCUAUUGUGAAAUGGAGAGCACGUUUAUCAUCUUAUACAACAACACUCCAAAAGCCCAGAUGUUUGUGGAGAUGGCAUGGAAUUUGCCAUAGGCGAAGAGUUCAGGAAGUAAACCUUUAUUCCUGUAAAUAAGACAUUUUCAGCAUUGAGCAAUUCUUAGAAGCAUCACAUGAUCAACAAUAAGUCACUACAUGAUGUUUUCCACACUCUGUUACUCAACAUGCCAGCUCACCUCUAUAUUGCCUGCAAUCAUAGCCAUUACUACUAAGUAGUAUAUUGAACACCUGACCUUAACCUGACCAUGAAGAAUUGAGUAUUUAAGUAUUAAGUAUUGUAGGUGCUUUAAAAAUGUAUUGAUCAAGACAAGUGUAUGCAGAUCUCAAUGUAAGAGGAAAAAUGGAUUCUCUCACACACCUUGUCAUAACCUCCUUCUCCAAUAAUCUUUUUCACUAUAUAGCGAGAGUGAAUGGAUUCUGGAAAAAAACAAAAAAAAAAACAUAUCAAUCAAUUUCAGUCUCUCUAUGCUCUCCUCAGAGAUGACGUUAUGUGUAGAGUCAUCUAAUCUGGAUGCUGUCUUCAGGUUCAGGCAAGCUGAAGACCCUACUGGCUCAACAGGCACUUCACCUGGAAGUGUAAAGCUGAACUGCUCUCGGAAGCUAUCCGAAUUGAAUAAAUCGGCAUCGCUCCACCUUUCGAGGCUAUCCAUAGUUCUUAUCUUAAUAAUGCACGUGCCUACGCUAAGACAAUGUGUAUCUUGGCUGCUGAGGCUCAACAGUUCCAGUCUCUCCACACUGUCCUUAGAGAUGGACAAACUGACGUCCGGUGUAGAGUUGUCAAACUGUGGGUCCAGCUGUGGUAGACAGUCCACUGUGAGCUCUUCUCCACAGGAGGAGCCUCCUUGACACUCUGAGUGCCGAGGCUGAAUUGACUCACUACACUCACCUCAGAGAUGGACGAUAAUCUUGAAGACAAUAUCUGGUGUAGAUUUAUGAAAUUUGUGCAUUGUGUUUCUGUAUCUGUAAUUCUGUGUUGUGUGUAGACUCUGAACGAUCUGUAGACUGUGAAGACUUUGUAUGGUCUGCACUGUGCUUUUACGUAAGACUUUCAUCAAUAGACAAUUUUACUUAUGCUGUCUCUUUAGACUGAAGCUAAACUAACUCUCAAACGAGAUUCAGUCAGUUACAGCUUGAAAGAUGGUUCCGUGUCGGAAUGUCUGUUUUUGUUUUUAUUUUGGUCUUUGUGAUUCCGCCUAAAAGUAGGUUGCCGUGAUUUAGCCAAGUAAGACAUGUUCCUGGAUUAACAUCUUUUGUUGAUCCUGGAUGAACAUUCCCAGCAGGCACCAGACAUCUAUGUAACGUCCGGUUGACGUUGGACAUGACGUCGGACAGACGUUGCAUUUCGGCUGAAAAUGAAAAUCGGGUCACUUUGACGUUGACUUAACAUUAGAUUUUGGUUACACAACAUAAAAACAACAAAAUCUCAAAUGUCAGCUGACAUCGGUAUUGGACAUCAAUUUAACAUUGACAUUAGACGCUGAAUUGACAUUGAAUUUUGGUCACCCAACAUCGUAACCGAAAUUUAACCAAAUAUCAACAUCUUAUGAUGUUGUGUGCCUGGGUUACUGUCCAAAAAUAUAGACUUAACCCAAUCCAUACCCCUAACCCUACCCAUAAUUUAUUCCUAAAAUCAGAGGGAAAUGAUGAUUAACAAGAGUGUAGAAGCAUCUAACCCAGAUAGUAAGCCUAAAACUGACAUU